CAUCGGGUCUAUAAUGCAGUCGAGCGGACAGAUGGGAGCUUGCUCCCUGAUGUUAGCGGCGGACGGGUGAGUAACACGUGGGUAACCUGCCUGUAAGACUGGGAUAACUCCGGGAAACCGGGGCUAAUACCGGAUGCUUGAUUGAACCGCAUGGUUCAAUUAUAAAAGGUGGCUUUUAGCUACCACUUACAGAUGGACCCGCGGCGCAUUAGCUAGUUGGUGAGGUAACGGCUCACCAAGGCAACGAUGCGUAGCCGACCUGAGAGGGUGAUCGGCCACACUGGGACUGAGACACGGCCCAGACUCCUACGGGAGGCAGCAGUAGGGAAUCUUCCGCAAUGGACGAAAGUCUGACGGAGCAACGCCGCGUGAGUGAUGAAGGUUUUCGGAUCGUAAAACUCUGUUGUUAGGGAAGAACAAGUACCGUUCGAAUAGGGCGGUACCUUGACGGUACCUAACCAGAAAGCCACGGCUAACUACGUGCCAGCAGCCGCGGUAAUACGUAGGUGGCAAGCGUUGUCCGGAAUUAUUGGGCGUAAAGCGCGCGCAGGCGGUUUCUUAAGUCUGAUGUGAAAGCCCCCGGCUCAACCGGGGAGGGUCAUUGGAAACUGGGGAACUUGAGUGCAGAAGAGGAGAGUGGAAUUCCACGUGUAGCGGUGAAAUGCGUAGAGAUGUGGAGGAACACCAGUGGCGAAAGGCGACUCUCUGGUCUGUAACUGACGCUGAGGCGCGAAAGCGUGGGGAGCGAACAGGAUUAGAUACCCUGGUAGUCCACGCCGUAAACGAUGAGUGCUAAGUGUUAGAGGGUUUCCGCCCUUUAGUGCUGCAGCAAACGCAUUAAGCACUCCCGCCUGGGGAGUACGGUCGCAAGACUGAAACCUCAAAGGGAAUUGACCGGGGGCCCGCCACAGCGGGUGGGAGCAUGUGUGUUUUAAUUCGGAAGCCACCGCGAAGAACCCUUAACCAGGUCUUGGACAUCCCUCUGGACAACCCGUAGAAAGAAUAGGCUUCCCCCCCUUCGGGGCCAGAGUGACAGUGAUGCAUUGAUUGUCCGUCAGCUCGGUCUGAAAUGUUGGUUUAGUCCCGCACCAGCGCCACCCGUGGAAUCCUUAGGUUGCCCCAGCCCAU
rnacentral:rRNA from 1 species